rnacentral:rRNA from 1 species
AGAGUUUGAUCCUGGCUCAGGACGAACGCUGGCGGCGUGCCUAAUACAUGCAAGUCGAGCGGUCCCUUCGGGGAUAGCGGCGGACGGGUGAGUAACACGUAGGCAACCUGCCUGUAAGACUGGGAUAACUAUCGGAAACGAUAGCUAAGACCGGAUAACUGGUUUUCUCGCAUGAGAGAAUCAUGAAACACGGAGCAAUC